CGGCUGUAGCUAUAUAAAUCUCCUCAUCUGAGAAGCUUUACUGGCCGGUUGUUGUUUCUCCGUCGACAUAUCUGCUUACCGAGCUUCUCACAUGU